rnacentral:misc_RNA from 1 species
AUGCCAUUCAUGUAGCUUUGAUGCGUGCAUUGAGACGCCAUCUCGAGAUGCUGUCUUCAGAUGGUUCAGAUAUCGCAUCAAAAUGUUUAAGUUGUAUCGAUUGGAGCUUGCUGGAUUCACUCACUUGGCCUGUUUAUUUGAUCCUUUAUUUUACAGUAAUGGGGUAUGCAAAGGGACCAGAGUGGAAUGGAUUUUAUGAUGAUGUUUUGAAGAGAGAGUAUUAUUCCUUGCCAGUGAGUAGGAAGCUGAAGAUUCUGCAAAUUCUGUGUGAUGA